rnacentral:lncRNA from 1 species
CUUUUUGUCCUGUGACUUUCUGUCCUACAUUCUAUUAUGGUACGGUUACCAAUGAGGCUACCAUCUACCGGAGACUCCAGACUGUGCUUUUACUAAGUCUUAUAUUUACAGUGUAAUGCUAUUGUGGAAUUUACAUAUGGCUUCUAUAAAUAUACUUUCGAAAUAUUUGAUUGUUUAGCCAUGUAACUCAGUCAUGGUUCAUUGACUUUGAAUGUUUGCAUAACUUGUGUAAAAUGUUAAGGUAUUGCUAUUUUGAUUUCAACAUUUGCAUAAUCAAAAUAACAAAAAGGCGAGACAUAUCUCUGUGAUAACAGUUUAUGUCAAUAGUCAGGCCGUUGUUUUUUUUUUUAUUAUUAAAUCAUUUAUAUUGUGUCAUGGCGGAGCUUUUUAAAACUGGUAUGGGGUUUUCUUAAUAUUGAAGCUCGUUCUGUUGCCUAUGUCUGCUUAAUGCAUCAACUGCAUUUGAACUUUGGUAGAUAGUUCUCUCAUUGGCAAUCAUACCACAUCUCAUUAUUCAUUCUUAAAAUAAAAUGGAAAAUGUUAAAACAUACAUGUAUCAAUAAAAC